AUUGAACGCUGGCGGCAGGCCUAACACAUGCAAGUCGAGCGGAUGAGGGGAGCUUGCUCCUCGAUUCAGCGGCGGACGGGUGAGUGAUGCCUAGGAAUCUGCCUAGCAGUGGGGGACAACGUUUCGAAAGGAACGCUAAUACCGCAUACGUCCUACGGGAGAAAGUGGGGGAUCUUCGGACCUCACGCUAUUAGAUGAGCCUAGGUCGGAUUAGCUAGUUGGUGGGGUAAAGGCCUACCAAGGCGACGAUCCGUAACUGGUCUGAGAGGAUGAUCAGUCACACUGGAACUGAGACACGGUCCAGACUCCUACGGGAGGCAGCAGUGGGGAAUAUUGGACAAUGGGCGAAAGCCUGAUCCAGCCAUGCCGCGUGUGUGAAGAAGGCCUUCGGGUCGUAAAGCACUUUAAGUUGGGAGGAAGGGCUCAUAGCGAAUACCUGUGAGUUUUGACGUUACCAACAGAAUAAGCACCGGCUAACUUCGUGCCAGCCGCCGCAGUAACAC
rnacentral:rRNA from 1 species